UGUGCCUACGGGACGCAGCAGUGGGGAAUAUUGCACAAUGGGGGAAACCCUGAUGCAGCGACGCCGCGUGAAGGAUGAAGUAUUUCGGUAUGUAAACUUCUAUCAGCAGGGAAGAAAAUGACGGUACCUGACUAAGAAGCCCCGGCUAACUACGUGCCAGCAGCCGCGGUAAUACGUAGGUGGCAAGCGUUGUCCGGAAUUACUGGGUGUAAAGGGAGCGCAGGCGGGAAGCCAAGUCAGCUGUUAAAACUACGGGCUUAACUUGUAGACUGCAGUUGAAACUGGUUUUCUUGAGUGAAGUAGAG
rnacentral:rRNA from 1 species